rnacentral:rRNA from 1 species
UAAUGAAUUAAAUUUUAAGCUUGAAUAAAAGUAGUUAUUUUCUUCAUAACUCAAAGGUUUUGGCGGUUAAGUUUAAUUUCUCAGAGGAACCUGUUCUUUAAUCGAUAAACCACGAUAGUUUAUACCUUAAUGUUGAUUUGUAUACCUCUAUGAUUUAGGAAUAUUUUAUAAGGAUAUUUUCUUUUUGGUGGAUACCUUUAAUUUUAGGUCAAGGUGCAGUUUUAUUAAGGUAAGUAUGGGUUACUUUAAUUUUAAAUAUUUAAAAAUUUUAUUACUUAUUUUUAGGAUUUGAAAGUAAUUUAAAUUAAUUAGUUUCUAUGAAUUUUUUUAUUUAAUGU